rnacentral:lncRNA from 1 species
CUGGUUCGGUUGAUGGUGGCAUUGGUGUGAGUCUAAGAGCACCAUGAUUUCUUGCUUUUAUUUGCUGACGAUUGCCAAAUCUUUUGUGAAAGCUGAUAGGUGGAGUGCGCAUAGAUUGAAUUCCAUCUGCUUACAGCCUUGCUCUGGCCAGAGUGGUACUAAAAUGAAGAGUUCGGUGUUUUUCAGCCUCAACAGUACAUAUCAAAUUCAAUUGAGGUGAGGAUUGAAUUGCAAAUAGAGUGGGAGGUUCUUUCAUAGUAGAUUGGUUAUUUGAGCUAAAUCUAAAAUACAGGGGUGGUGUGAAAGUAAAUUGUUCUCGUGCAGCAAAAAAGUCUGAAAUUGGCAACCUGUCCUCGAAGUGCAUCGCAAACUUGGUGUGCUAUUGUGAAUGGAAGAGAUGUUUGCUAAAGUUGGGUUUGAUUUGUAGGGUUGGAAAUGGUCGAACUCAAUAUAGCAAACCAAAUGGAUUUCUAAAGCAAAAUUCAAUGCAACCGAGGGGGAGAAUAUCAGCUACACGGGUACAGUUGGUUUCAAGUUUAAUUGAUGCUGAUUUGGGGCAAUGGAACAAGGAUUUAAUUAAGGAGGUGUUCAUGCCGACAGAUGUGUACACAUUCUUCUGAAUGCCAAGACCCCAUAAUUAUGCAGAUGGCUUCUGGUCUUGGGCAUGGAAGAUUAGGCAUGGAACCAUUCGGGAUAUUUCACAGUUCGCUCUGCAUAUACUGAGCCCUAAUACAGAGAAAGGUAGAAGGUGAGAUGCAGGAGAGGGUACUUUCAGGUGCAGAGAAUAAGUGGAAUGUACCGUUGAGUGGCCGGUGUUACAAAAUAUUUUACCAAGUUUCGUUGUUACAAAAUAUUUUACCAAGUUUCAGUGAACUGAAAAUGAGACACAUCAAGAACUUAGUAUAUGCCCUAUGUCUGCUCAUGAAUAGAAUAAUAUGUACCUUGUUGUGGUUAGUUUCCAUCAUGCAAAGCUAUUCUGUAAUACAACCGUUGACAUUUUAUAUCUUAAAUUUCGCAGGCUAUGUCCAAUGACAUGGUUGGCUGAUGUACUGAGCAUGCUAUUGUUAGUAAGAAAGAUGCUCCUAUUUUGGUUUCCGUCCUGUGGGCAAUAUGGAGCAGUCGGAAUAAGUACACAUGAGGCAACUCAGUGCAAACAGUGCAUUUCAUGGAGCUUUCAUAAGAGUGUGCGCGCUUUCUAAUUCCCUGGCAAGAGUGUUGCCAGUGAAGAGCAAGCGAAGUGGUGUCCAUCGAAAGCAUGAUGAAAAUAAACAGUGAUGGUGCUCUUGAUUUUCUGGUGCGGACUGAUUGUGUGUGACCAUGAUGGAAGAUUUCAAGAAGCCGCCUGCAAAAGGCAUGAUAACAUAAUAGGUCUAUUUACCAUUGGAGCUCCUGGCAUGUGAAGAUGCCAUGUUGUUGACCCAAGAAAGAGACUAUCAUAGAGUGGUGAUUGAGACCUAUUGCCAGUCAGUUGUUCAUCUUUGGCUGGAUAGUUAGGAGGAGCUAUCAAUGGGUGCUCAGCUAAUUCAUGAAUUGCAGGCCUACAAGUCUUUGUUCCGGUGUUUGGAGCUUCUUUUCACAAAGCGAGAGAGGAAUAAAGCAGCCCAUAGAUGUACAAGUCUUCAUUUCAGAUCCAUGGUUUUUGUGUCGACAUUAUAGGCACUUGUUUGGUCUAUGGAAUAAAAAUAUGGACUUAAACAUAAAAAAUAAGAUAAAUCAUUGAUUGAACAAAAGAUAUUACCUAAGUGAUCCGGUGCACUUUGUGACCAAUGUCCUCAAUUGUGAUGAAAGAUUCUGUUUUUUGUUGCCUGAAACACCCC